rnacentral:rRNA from 1 species
UACGGAGGGGGCUAGCGUUGUUCGGAAUUACUGGGCGUAAAGCGCGCGUAGGCGGUUCCACUAGUCAGGCGUGAAAGCCCCGGGCUCAACCCGGGAAUAGCGCUUGAUACUUUGGAGCUAGAGUCCGGGAGAGGAGAGUGGAAUUCCCAGUGUAGAGGUGAAAUUCGUAGAUAUUGGGAAGAACACCGGUGGCGAAGGCGGCUCUCUGGACCGGUACUGACGCUCUGGCGCGAAAGCGUGGGGAGCAAACAGG